AGCAGUUUGGUUUUAAAUUUGACAGUUCUGUUUUCUCAAGUCAAAAAUCUUAACCUUACUUUUACAAGUGAUUAAGAUUAUUUUAUUUACAUGUAAAUUGAAACAAUAAAUAUUGUGCUUUGUCAUAAUUUAAAACUCAUUAUGUUGAAGUCUUUUCCAGUUGAUAAAAUUGCAAUUCAAAAACUUUUAGGUAGGUACGUGUAACUUCCACAUUAUUAUUUAUUUUUUAAGUAUUAAGGUUGAUGUUGAUAUCAAAAAUUUAGAUUUCAAAGAUAGUUUUAUGUAGGUAGAUACUAAUAGAGUAAUCUAAAUACUAAUAAACUAGAUAAUAGAUUAGAUACAAAGUAAGCUGUAAGUAGUAUAACUGCCCAUGUAAUCACCUGUUAUGUUGUUUUUUUUUUAGAUUUGUACUUUAUGGAUGGCACAGGAAGAGAACAGAGAACAAGAGUACAAGAACAUGAAACAUCUUAUUAUGAAUGUAUAUGUAUGUGAUCCUCAAAAAAUUAUUUUUCAAAACAAGAUAGAGAAUGAGCUUUAAAAUCCCAAGGAUCCUGCAAAAUGUCUAUUUGGUGUACUAGUCGAAUAAUAGUAUCUAAAAAUAAUGAAACUGUUUUAAAACACAUUAUGGGCAUGAGGAUGAUAUAGAGCACUUACAUAAAUACCAAAAUCAGAUAAAUAUCUCUUCAAAGUUUAUUUUGAGACUUUCUUCAAAAAUUAAACUUCAGACUGUCCAGGAUAGCAUAAUAGCAUAGGAGGCAAAUUAAAAAGAAUUAAUUUACUUACAAGAAGAGAUAUCACAAACAUUAAACUCUCUUAUGGCAUUGAUUUGAAAGAUGGGUAUAUGUACAAUGAUGAUGCAACCAGUGUUUAUUUUUGGGUUGAAUGCUCACAGAUUAUUUAUUUUUUCCAAUAUUAUUUUACAAACAACAGGACAUACUAAUGGAUAUUCAUUCUGAAUUUAACAUUUAUGAUUUUUGUCUUAUUUUCCUUAAUACUGUGCCAAAAGGAAAUGUUAAUUAAGUUUGGCAAAUCCUUUAUCGCAAUCGAUGGAACUCAUGGGCUCAAUUCCUAUGACUUUGAACUUAUGACAGUAUUAGUAAAAGAUGAAUUUGGGAAUGGAUUUUGUACUGCUUUCUUAUUUUCAAAUAGAAAAGAUACCUACUUUAAUUUA